rnacentral:lncRNA from 1 species
CAUCCUCAGCACAUGCUAUUACAGCAUCUGUCUGUGUUACUGUAUUACUCAGAUCUUCAUGUCCACCAUGUGCUGCUGUAAUGUCACUUGCAGGAUUAUCCUCACCUCAUAUAAUAACACAUAACUGACUUCAGGUUUUAUGAAUUCUUCAUUCCCCUUGCUAGUAAACAGUAGAUCUCUUUUGGCACGGAUUGAACUCUCACUUGUAUUAUUAUCCAGUAAUCUUUCUAAUAGGAAAGUAUGAAGGUGUGUUCUCUGGAAAACUGGCAAAUGGAAGUUUGUUUGAAUCAAGGAUGUGGUUUUUGCUCCGUUUUUUUUGUUUUUAGGACAUGUGCAGACCUCAGCUGACCUACUUCAUAAGCGUUUACCUGGAAGACAUUCAAAGAAUCUUGUCUGAGACUCAUCCGACGGUCAAGAAAUAGAAACCUUUCUUUUUAAACCGUGUCUGCUUUUAGUCUAAUGUUUCACUGGCUUCGGCGUGUCUCCUCAGGUUUAUUUUAGGUUUAUUAAGGGCAUGUUAAAGCAACACAAGCUAUGUUUUCUUUCCUCGUUUGGUGAAAUAUUUAAGGUGCAUGUGUUAAAGCAACACUAUGUAAACUUUGGCACUAUAAACAGAACUGCACGCAUCCCGCGGAAGAACAUUCUAACCGGAGCUACUUGAUUCACGCAGGUAUAUGUUACUCUGCAGCGGUGACGACCACAGUAACUAAUUCACACAAGUACUGUUAAAUGGAAAAACAUUUGGUGUUGGUAAUGCAUAAAUAAAUUCAUCCAUCUAGAAAAGUAGACCCAUCACUAAACGGAUGGUUUACAGCUCAAAUAAUGCAGAAUAAUUAAUACAAGCUUAAACACAUCAAGCGCAGGCCACAGAAGCUGUUCGUAAAAAUGAAUUUGUAUUGAACCCAGAACAUUCCUGGGAAGAUUUCCAUGUUUUUUUUUUUUUUUUUUUUUAUUUUUGAAAAUAUAUUUGUGCAAAAUGUCCUCAUAUAAAUUAUUAGUUUAUUAACAGAUGCAACUCGUGGCAAAUUCAAAUGGAUAAUUUUUGUUGGUGUUUACCUUUAGAUAAUGUUUUGCAAAAGUUGUUUCUUGAGACUGGUUGGAUGCUGUAUCUAUGUGCCUUUUAGUUACAGUUUGCAGGUUUCGGAUAACAAUAAUUAGCUGUGCAUUUAUUUAUUUUAAUUUUUUUUGUCACAGAUAAAAUGUCAGCAUAGAAAGUAAAGAAUAUAUAUACACAAUAUGUACAGUUCACUUAAGGUUGCAUGUAUAAAAUAUCAAGAAAAAUGGCGAACAAAUAAAAUCAGUAUUGUGUUAUUAUAAAUAAAGCUUUCUGCCAAGAAAAUAUAGUGCUACUCGAAGAGUAUCUGAGCGUACACUGUUCCCGUCUUUGCAGUUUUGGCUUUAGGCAGCGGCUUCAUCAGUUCAAGCUCAGCGUAUGUUAGACUCUCCUCUGCAAUUUUGGGCUGGUUGGUUCGGACAACAGUAGAGUUACAGCUCUAC